rnacentral:rRNA from 1 species
UACGGAGGGUGCAAGCGUUAAUCGGAAUUACUGGGCGUAAAGCGCACGCAGGUGGCUGAGUCAGUCGAUUGUGAAAGCCCUGGGCUUAACCUGGGAAUUGCAGUCGAUACUACUCAGCUAGAGUAUGGGAGAGGGUAGUGGAAUUCCCGGUGUAGCGGUGAAAUGCGUAGAUAUCGGGAGGAACAUCCGUGGCGAAGGCGGCCACCUGGACCAACAUUGACGCUGAGGCACGAAAGCGUGGGGAGCAAACAGG